rnacentral:rRNA from 1 species
UACGAAGGGGGCUAGCGUUGCUCGGAAUCACUGGGCGUAAAGGGUGCGUAGGCGGGUCUUAAGUCAGGGGUGAAAUCCUGGAGCUCAACUCCAGAACUGCCUUUGAUACUGAAGAUCUUGAGUUCGGGAGAGGUGAGUGGAACUGCGAGUGUAGAGGUGAAAUUCGUAGAUAUUCGCAAGAACACCAGUGGCGAAGGCGGCUCACUGGCCCGGUACUGACGCUGAUGUGCGAAAGCGUGGGGAGCAAACAGGG